rnacentral:rRNA from 1 species
GAUGAACGCUGGCGGCGUGCCUAAUACAUGCAAGUCGAGCGAACAGACGAGGAGCUUGCUCCUCUGACGUUAGCGGCGGACGGGUGAGUAACACGUGGAUAACCUACCUAUAAGACGGGGAUAACUUCGGGAAACCGGAGCUAAUACCGGAGAAUAUAUUGAACCGCAUGGUUCAAUAGUGAAAGACGGUUUUGCUGUCACUUAUAGAUGUAUCCGCGCCGCAUUAGGUAGUUGGUAAGGUAAAGGCUUUCCAAGGCAACGAUGCGUAGCCGACCUGAGAGGGUGAGCCGCCCCGAGAGAGUGUAGACACGCUCUAGAACCCUACGGGAGCCCACAGUAGGGAAGCUGCCGGCAGGGGCGAAUGCCUCACGGUGCGACGACGCGUGAGGGAUGAAGGUCUUCGGAUCGUAAACGUCUGUUAUUUGGGAAGCACAAAUGUGUAAGUAACUAUGCACGUCUUGACGGUACCUAAUCAGAAAGCCACGGCUAACUACGUG